AGUGAACGCUGGCGGUAGGCCUAACACAUGCAAGUCGAACGGCAGCACAGUAAGAGCUUGCUCUUACGGGUGGCGAGUGGCGGACGGGUGAGGAAUACAUCGUAAUCUACUUUUUCGUGGGGGAUAACGUAGGUAAACUUACGCUAAUACCGCAUACGACCUACGGGUGAAAGCAGGGGAUCUUCGGACCUUGCGCGAUUGAAUGAGCCGAUGUCGGAUUAGCUAGUUGGCGGGGUAAAGGCCCACCAAGGCGACGAUCCGUAGCUGGUCUGAGAGGAUGAUCAGCCACACUGGAACUGAGACACGGUCAAGACUCCUACGGGAGGCAGCAGUGGGGAAUAUUGGACAAUGGGCGCAAGCCUGAUCCAGCCAUACCGCGUGGGUGAAGAAGGCCUUCGGGUUGUAAAGCCCUUUUGUUGGGAAAGAAAAGCAGCAGGUUAAUACCCCGCUGUUCUGACGGUACCCAAAGAAUAAGCACCGGCUAACUUCGUG
rnacentral:rRNA from 1 species